UAAUACGUAGGGGGCAAGCGUUGUCCGGAAUCAUUGGGCGUAAAGAGCGUGUAGGCGGUCUCGUCAGUCUGCUGUGAAAGUCCAGGGCUCAACCCUGGAAUGCCGGUGGAUACUGCGGGACUAGAGUCCGGAAGAGGUGAGUGGAAUUCCUGGUGUAGCGGUGAAAUGCACAGAUAUCAGGAGGAACACCAAUUGCGAAGGCAGCUCACUGGGACGGUACUGACGCUGAGACGCGAAAGCGUGGGGAGCAAACAGG
rnacentral:rRNA from 1 species